rnacentral:rRNA from 1 species
CAUGCAGUCGACGCCCUCUUCGGAGGGAGUGGCAGACGGGUGAGUAACACGCUGGGAAUCUACCUAUCUCUGCGGAACAACACAUAGAAAUGUGUGCUAAUACCGCAUACGCCCUUCGGGGGAAAGAUUUAUCGGAGAUAGAUGAGCCCGCGUUUGAUUAGCUAGUUGGUGAGGUAAUGGCUCACCAAGGCGACGAUCAAUAGCUGGUCUGAGAGGAUGAUCAGCCACACUGGGACUGAGACACGGCCCAGACUCCUACGGGAGGCAGCAGUGGGGAAUAUUGGACAAUGGGCGCAAGCCUGAUCCAGCCAUGCCGCGUGAGUGAUGAAGGCCCUAGGGUUGUAAAGCUCUUUCAACGGUGAAGAUAAUGACGGUAACCGUAGAAGAAGCCCCGGCUAACUUCGUGCCAGCAGCCGCGGUAAUACGAAGGGGGCUAGCGUUGUUCGGAAUAACUGGGCGUAAAGCGCACGUAGGCGGAUUGGAAAGUUAGAGGUGAAAUCCCAGGGCUCAACCCUGGAACUGCCUUUAAAACUAUCAGUCUAGAGGUCGAGAGAGGUGAGUGGAAUUCCGAGUGUAGAGGUGAAAUUCGUAGAUAUUCGGAGGAACACCAGUGGCGAAGGCGGCUCACUGGCUCGAUACUGACGCUGAGGUGCGAAAGUGUGGGGAGCAAACAGGAUUAGAUACCCUGGUAGUCCACACCGUAAACGAUGGAAGCUAGCUGUCA